AACGAGAUUGUGUUUAGAGUGUACGAGUUGAACUUUCUAUAUAUCGUAUACGUAUGCAAUUGGUAAUUCUUGCAGUCUCCAGCUCCAAACCAUCUCCCCGGUCUUGCAAUGUUUACGUUGAAUCAAAACACUAUGGCGGUAGGUGCAGAGGCCGCGGAAGCAUUUCGAAAGUGGAGGGGCAUUGACCGAAAGGGGCACUUUUGUAUAUGACCAGAAUCAAACGAUUUUAUGACGUUCACGAGCCGAACGAAAAUUUUUGAAAAUAUGGAGUCUCUCUAACGUCGGAAAUGGCCUUUACAGAGUCUUUACUACUGCGAAAAGGGCAUUUUCUUUCCAGAAAAAGAGGGCGUUUAUUCAAGAAAUACUUUUUCCGUUCUUUAAAUGGGGCAUUUUAGCCCAGAAAAAAGGGCACUUUUUUCACUUUUAAGAAAAGUGGGGGGGCACAUGCCCCCAUUGCCCCCCCGGUUCCGCGGCCCCUGGGUAGGUGACUUUCCUGCAUUUGGUCGUCACGUCACAAUUUUGACACUUUGCUACAGCGAUGACGACGGGUCUUCGUGCCGUGUCCGUGUUAAUAUCCCACGUCCACGGGCAUUUCUUUGUCCCUGGUGUGCCCUGCGUGGCCGCGCCCGGUUGACUGGGACUACCAGAUGUGCCUUGCGGUUUUGGGGCGUGGUCUUUGACGAACAGAAAUUUCUUUCUGUAAUAGGUGAUUUUUCCACGCUUCGGGUUGGAUAGCGUUUUGCAUGGCCGUUUGGCUUCAACGUGGUUUGCCGCAAACAGGAAACUGAGUAAACAAGUCAGCU